UAAUACGUAGGGUCCGAGCGUUGUCCGGAAUUAUUGGGCGUAAAGGGCUCGUAGGCGGUUUGUCGCGUCGGGAGUGAAAACUCAGGGCUCAACCCUGAGCGUGCUUCCGAUACGGGCAGACUAGAGGUAUGCAGGGGAGAACGGAAUUCCUGGUGUAGCGGUGGAAUGCGCAGAUAUCAGGAGGAACACCGGUGGCGAAGGCGGUUCUCUGGGCAUUACCUGACGCUGAGGAGCGAAAGCAUGGGGAGCGAACAGGA
rnacentral:rRNA from 1 species